rnacentral:tRNA from 1 species
GCGGCUGUGGUGGAAUUGGCAGUCACGUCAGACUUAGGAUCUGAUGCCGAAAGGCGUGGGGGUUCGAGUCCCUUCAGCCGCA